CCUACGGGUGGCAGCAGUGAGGAAUAUUGGUCAAUAGACGCAAGUCUGAACCAGCCAUGCCGCGUGCAGGAAGACGGCUCUAUGAGUUGUAAACUGCUUUUAUACGAGGGUAAACGCAGAUACGCGUAUCUGUCUGAAAGUAUCGUACGAAUAAGGAUCGGCUAACUCCGUGCCAGCAGCCGCGGUAAUACGGAGGAUUCAAGCGUUAUCCGGAUUUAUUGGGUUUAAAGGGUGCGUAGGCGGUCGGAUAAGUUAGAGGUGAAAUCCCGAGGCUCAACUUCGGAAUUGCCUCUGAUACUGUUAGGCUAGAGAGUAGUUGAGGUAGGCGGAAUGUAUGGUGUAGCGGUGAAAUGCUUAGAGAUCAUACAGAACACCGAUUGCGAAGGCAGCUUACCAAGCUACGUCUGACGUUGAGGCACGAAAGCGUGGGGAGCAAACAGGAUUAGAUACCCUUGUAGUC
rnacentral:rRNA from 1 species